rnacentral:rRNA from 1 species
UACGGGGGGAGCAAGCGUUGUUCGGAUUUACUGGGCGUAAAGGGCGCGUAGGCGGCCAGCACAAGUCAGUUGUGAAAUCUCCGAGCUUAACUCGGAAAGGUCAACUGAUACUGUGCGGCUAGAGUGCGGAAGGGGCAACUGGAAUUCUUGGUGUAGCGGUGAAAUGCGUAGAUAUCAGGAAGAACACCCGUGGCGAAGGCGGCUCUCUGGGACGGUACUGACGCUGAGACGCGAAAGCGUGGGGAGCGAACAGG